AACCUAUGGUGAGGGCACCUUCUCAAUAGAUCCUUGUAUCUCUCUCAUGCAUUAUAAAGUAUUUUUAAAUCCAUCUGUACAAAAGAAGAGAUAUCAUUCCUUAAUUU
rnacentral:snoRNA from 1 species